rnacentral:tRNA from 1 species
GCCGGUAUGAUGGAAUUGGCAGACGUAGCGGACUCAAAAUCCGCCGGUUUCACGACCGUGUCGGUUCGACCCCGACUACCGGCACCA